AUCACCCUACGGGGCGCAGCAGUGAGGAAUAUUGGUCAAUGGCCGAGAGGCUGAACCAGCCAAGUCGCGUGAGGGAAGACGGCCCUACGGGUUGUAAACCUCUUUUGUCGGGGAGCAGAGAGAGUCACGUGUGACUCAUUGAGAGUACCCGAAGAAAAAGCAUCGGCUAACUCCGCGCCAGCAGCCGCGGUAAUACGGAGGAUGCGAGCGUUAUCCGGAUUUAUUGGGUUUAAAGGGUGCGCAGGCGGAGGUGCAAGUCAGCGGUCAAAUUGCGGGGCUCAACCCCGUACUGC
rnacentral:rRNA from 1 species